rnacentral:misc_RNA from 1 species
GUACAAUUUAAAACGUUACCAAAAGAAUCUCGCAUUAAACCCUAACGCAAUCAAUUUCUGGUACUCUCUUCUCUUGAUUUCCCUUUCCACUAGAUACAACCCGGUGCAACUAAAAGCUUGCUUUGAGUCCCGCCACCGAAGCCGGAACGAAUCCUAGACCGCUUCACUUGCCUCUCAAUCAUCGUCGGCCGCCAGUGUCAGUAAUCUUUUGGGGCUUUAUCUGCUUUUAACUGCAUGGAAUUGGAUGUUAUAUUUCAGCUGAAAAUACUGAUAAAUUUUUGAGUCUCUUUGAUUACACGUUAAGUGUGCUUGUUGCUAUAUUGAAAUUAUUUCUGUUAUAACAAUUCAAGGGUCAGCCAUAUGUUGUGAAUUUUACUAAUGUUAGUUUCUUUGAUUGAGAAUAGAUUGAGUUGCGAAAUUUAGGUCAAAGAUUUGAGUUUCAAAUUUUUAUUAAGCAGCGUAGAUGUGUAACUCACACCUUUA